CUGUCAUCAAAAAAUCUUCUGGCAUGUAAAGUAUCUUAUUUUUCUUGAAAUAAGGAUCUCAUGUCUGUUGCUAGGGAUAAAAAAAAAAUUAUUUAAGAAUGAGGCACUAUGUUGAAUAGGGCAGCAGUUCAAUUGUUUUAGAUGAAUUUACUGGCCCGCUAUGGAUAUUUCCACACUGGUAUAGUUCUUUGAGUGAGUCUCCCAGCUCCCUCCAUACUCACCUGCAUACCUAAAAUACAAAAUAAAAUAGUAAAAAUGUUUCUGUUGGCACUGAAUUCAUCUGCUAGGCUUUUUUUUUUUUUUUUUUACUGUGGGUUGUACUGAUUGUAGGUCUGAUGUCAGUGGAACAAAAUCUAGCAAACAUCAUUCUAUCUAGGCUGCACUGGAGCAGUUCUAAUAAAAGAAGGCAGUGCUGCUAAGGGAGAAGUGGUAGGAACCUCCCCAGAGAAGUCCAAGUGAAUUACUGGAGGAGAAAAACCCAUGCCUGAAAUUUGUGUCUGGUGCCAGUCUCAGAUUUAUGCCAAACACCGCUCACUGUUCAGAAGUGUGGUCCCCUGAAAAUGCAGGCCGAACAUCACCUCUCUGUCUUCAAAGAUUCAAACCAGAUUUCAACCUGGGAUUUCUCUGCAGGCUGCUUCCCAGACAAUACGAAUAUGAAAAAUGUGCAUUUCAUGAAAACGGUGUUGUAUUGUUGUCUCUGUUUACCUGCUAUUUAUUAAAGUCAAUGUUGAGCCUUUGGGACUUGUGGUUCUCUGGAGCCGUCGUAAGGUCAGUUAUACAAAUGGACUAGCCAGAGGCUCAGGGUAUCGAUAAAACGAGGUAAUGAAACCUGCCUGUAAUUAUACUAUGUAUAAACUAAUAUUUAUUACUAUCAGAAACAACUUUUUCCCCUCAAAAGAACACCUCAAGAACAGAAGGGGACAGUAACAUUUUUUUUUCCCACAGUAGUGAAUUUUCAGACAUUUCCAAGAGUGUAUUCACCUAUUUUAAAUACUGUGAAUUCUGUUAUAUCUCACUUGGAUAGGUAUCUAAUAAACAAAUUAUUAUAUAUCUUCUCAUUUAAACUACUACUGAAAUUAGAAAUAAUCUUUAUUUGAUAUGACUGUUUUUAACACCAUAUGGGAGGUAAAAGAACUAAGUGAAAAUUGUUCACGUAAAUGUGAUAGGAGUGAGGGAAAAGCAGUAUUUCUUGACAUGUGGCGUGUCACUCAGGAAAGGAAAAGGCCCAUCAUAUCCAAAAUGCCAGCUUGGAUAUUCCCUUGCCACCCACUUCACGAACAGACAUACCACAUGGCAUUAAAUGCUGCAACCUUUCCUAAAAAUGCCACUUGGAUUGGUCUGCUGUGGUGAGUGUAUAAGAACUCUUGGUCUGUCUCAUGAGUUUGUGAUUUCAAGGAGAAGAAUCCAGUAAAUAACACUGGCUAAAUUUUGCCCUCAGAUGUUUGGCAUAAAUGAUCUGUGAGGAUCCUGGAACUUUUGGCUGUUUUCACGUUGAUGAAAUAAAUUAUGCUACUUGAAAAAAUUCUACAGAACAUAAUGCUAUACAGUCAUCGUCAACUAUCUGCAAAAGUCUCAAAGAAGAUCUAGGGAAUUUAUCAACGUCUUUCUUCUCUUGGCAAAUAUGAAAACAACCUUAACAUUUUAUUUGCUCUUCAUAAAUACAAUGUAUAUGAUAUAAAACCCUUUGUGCACAUGUUUCAAACUAUUAAUUUUCUAUGCUUCUUUCUAUAAGGUAAUAGUAGCUAAAAAAUGUGCUGUGGACACAUAUUUUCCCAUUUUCAAGGCUUUAUGUAUUCGUGUGUUCUAAAGUUAUUUUAAAAACUCCAUUACCAGUAAAAAUAUUGAAUACAUUGAUUAUUAUACUCCAACAAAUGCAAAAUAUCUUGAAAAUUUAUAUAAACAAAAAAUUACCUAUGUGAGUAGUGAGGCAUACAUUUUCUUUCAUUAUUUAUUUUUCACAAAACAGUUGUGAUUGACUAACUCUCAAGAGACAAAAUGUAAUUUUGUAAACCCACUUCGUAUAGUUCAGAUUUAAGAGGCAACCCAAGAAGAUUAUUCCAAGUAGGUAGGACUUCGUUACUGUUAUGUGGAAAAAAAAAACCCUGCACAAUUAAAUGACAGAUUGUUA